CUCUAUGGCCAUGCCACCCUGAACACACUUGAUCUCAUUUGAUCUUGGAAGCUAAGCAGGGUUAAACCUGGUUAGUACUUGGAUGGGAGACCACUUAGGAAGACCGGAUGCUAUAGGUG
rnacentral:rRNA from 1 species